GCUAGCGUUGCUCGGAAUCACUGGGCGUAAAGCGCACGUAGGCGGAUUGCUAAGUCAGGGGUGAAAUCCUGAAGCUCAACUCCAGAACUGCCUUUGAUACUGGCAACCUUGAGUCCGGGAGAGGUGAGUGGAACUGCGAGUGUAGAGGUGAAAUUCGUAGAUAUUGGGAAGAACACCGGUGGCGAAGGCGGCCAACUGGACCACAACUGACGCUGAGGCGCGAAAGCGUGGGGAGCAAACAGG
rnacentral:rRNA from 1 species